AGAGCGAACGCUGGCGGCAGGCCUCAAACAUGCAAGUCUAGGGGGGUAGCAAUACCCACCGGCGGACGGGUGCGUAACACGUGGGAAUAUACCUUUCGGUACGGAACAACUGCGGGAAACUGCAGCUAAUACCGUAUACGUCCUAACGGAGAAAGAUUUAUCGCCGAAGGAUUAGCCCGCGUCCGAUUAGCUAGUUGGUGAGGUAAUGGCUCACCAAGGCUCCGAUCGGUAGCUGUUCUGAGAGGAAGAUCAGCCACACUGGGACUGAGACACGGCCCAGACUCCUACGGGAGGCAGCAGUUGGGAAUCUUGGACAAUGGGGGAAACCCUGAUCCAGCCAUGCCGCGUGAGUGAUGAAGGCCUUCGGGUUGUAAAACUCUUUCGACGGGGACGAUAAUGACGGUACCCGUAGAAGAAGCUCCGGCUAACUUCGUGCCAGCAGCCGC
rnacentral:rRNA from 1 species